GAUGAACGCUGGCGGCGUGCCUAAUACAUGCAAGUCGAACGAAACUUCUUUAUCACCGAGUGCUUGCACUCACCGAUAAAGAGUUGAGUGGCGAACGGGUGAGUAACACGUGGGCAACCUGCCCAAAAGAGGGGGAUAACACUUGGAAACAGGUGCUAAUACCGCAUAACCAUAGUUACCGCAUGGUAACUAUGUAAAAGGUGGCUAUACUACCGCUUUUGGAUGGGCCCGCGGCGCAUUAGCUAGUUGGUAGGGAAAAGGCUUACCAAGGCAAUGAUGCGUAGCCGAAUUGAGAGGUUGAUCGGCCACAUUGGGACUGAGACACGUCCCAAACUCCUACGGGAGGCAGCAGUAGGGAAUCUUCCACAAUGGGCGAAAGCCUGAUGGAGCAACGCCGCGUGGGUGAAGAAGGUCUUCGGAUCGUAAAACCCUGUUGUUAGAGAAGAAAGUGCGUGAGAGUAACUGUUCACGUUUCGACGGUAUCUAACCAGAAAGCCACUGCUAACUACGUG
rnacentral:rRNA from 1 species